UACGUAGGUGGCAAGCGUUGUCUGGAAUCACUGGGCGUAAAGUGCGCGCAGGCGGCGAUCUACGUCUGGGGUGAAAGCCCGGAGCUCAACUCCGGGACUGCCUUGGAUACGGGAUCGCUUGAGGAUUGGAGAGGCAAGGGGAAUUCCACGUGUAGCGGUGAAAUGCGUAGAGAUGUGGAGGAACACCUGUGGCGAAGGCGGCCUUCUGGACCAAUACUGACGCUCAUGCACGAAAGCGUGGGGAGCAAACAGG
rnacentral:rRNA from 1 species